UACAGAGGUCUCAAGCGUUGUUCGGAUUCAUUGGGCGUAAAGGGUGUGUAGGUGGCGCGCUAAGUCGGGUGUGAAAUUUCGGAGCUUAACUCCGAAACUGCAUUCCAUACUGCGGUGCUUGAGGACUGGAGAGGAGACUGGAAUUUACGGUGUAGCAGUGAAAUGCGUAGAGAUCGUAAGGAAGACCAGUGGCGAAGGCGGGUCUCUGGACAGUUCCUGACACUGAGGCACGAAGGCCAGGGGAGCAAACGGG
rnacentral:rRNA from 1 species